CUUGUGCAGAUUCAAUAAACUCUUCUGGCAAAUCACCUAUUAUGAAAGAAUUCCUAGCUGGCCACAACAAGAAGACAUGCGAUAAUGGUGAAAAAUUAAAAAUUUCAUCCAUUGCUCUGCAGGAGGAAGGUCCUACAGUUGAGCCAAGAUUUAGUCAUCAAAUGAAUGGAAGGAUGACAUCAUUCACUUAUUUCAUAAAUUUGUAAAUAUGAGAGCAGUUUUGGGCACAAAAUGAUAUUAGAGUAUGGAAAAACUUUUUAACCAACACUUUAAUUAAAUUAUACUUAAAUUUAUGCAUAUGUAUAUACAAACCAAUAUAUAUGUAUAUAUAAUUUAUAUGUAUACACACAAACAGACACACACACACAAAUACUUAGGUACUAUAUAUACCACAGACUCUUUAUUCAGCCUCUGUAAGAAUCCCACAAUAUUGCCGUUCUUCCUAUGGUCUUUAAGUCAUAGAGGAUUCAUGCACAUGAAAUUAUUAUUUUUGAUAAGAUCAUUUAGAAACAAUGUUUUAAUUUAUACAUCCAUUAGAGAUUCUGCAUGUUUAAGUCCUGUACCACUGUCAACAUGCUUUUUGAUUUUAAUGCAAAAAUAAUGUCUGUUUAAUUUCCUAUGAGAGACAAUCUUGCCAAAUGCUUAGCAUUAGCAUAAAUAUUAAAUUGCACAGGAUCCACUACAAAACCUACAUGAAGAAAAAGAUUUACUUAUAUAUAGUAAGUAAUAUCCCAGAGGAUACAAUGUUAGGAAGGAGGGGAUGUGGAUUUGCCUCAGUGCUGGAGCACUUGUCUAGUGAGCAGGAAGCCCUGGGUUCCCUCAUCACCUCAGGGUGUGGGGUGGGUGGGGAAUGGGAGGGGUGAGAAGAAGAAAAAAAAAACCUGUAAAGCAAUUUGGAAUCAAUGCUCAUGAAAGGCUCUGCCCAGUACCCAGAGUCUCCUCAGUCUGAAUGACCCUUGACCUUCAUGUCAUUUCCAGGGAGCAGGGACCCACUUCUGUAAUGUGGGUACACGAGGCUUCAUCUGAACGCCAUGUUCCUAACUGGAUCUGUGUGGCUCUGUUCACUUAUCUGUGAUCCCUUCCAACUCUACAGUGCUGUUUUCCCAUUAAGGGUCAACUGCAGCUGAAUUUAAAUUUCAGGUUGGCUCAGAUCAUCCUCUCUAGCUGUGUGAUCUUCCCAACCCGCCAUCUAUUCCACAGAGACAGCCCCUCUCUGUAGGGGAGCUGUGCCCAUCAAAGGGAGAAGCCGGUAUGUGAGGCUGGGUUGGAUGUGUGUUAUCUCUUUCCAGUCGAGCAUGGUAUAAUUGCAGUUUUCUGAGGGUCAUCACUGCCUGAAGUGGCCUAAAGAUGUCUUUUGUAAUUUAUUUCCUUGUUUAGCAUCAAGAGGACCUGAUGCCCCCAGAAGCCUGGAUUGCUGGAUAUGCAUGUUUCUGUGAUGUACACAUAUACUCACACAUUUAUAAAACUACUGGUAUAUGUUGUGCCCUUGGUUUUAUUCUCUGUGUAUUUGAACUUUAUAAUAAAAAUACUUUUCACUGUGUA
rnacentral:lncRNA from 1 species